rnacentral:piRNA from 1 species
UAGGAUCGACAAACGAGAGACUGUGCUGU